ACUCCUACGGGAGGCAGCAGUGGGGAAUAUUGCACAAUGGGCGCAAGCCUGAUGCAGUCAUGCCGCGUGUGUGAAGAAGGCCUUCGGGUUGUAAAGCACUUUCAGCGGGGAGGAAGGGUCACUAGUUAAUACCUAGUGGCAUUGACGUUACUCGCAGAAGAAGCACCGGCUAACUCCGUGCCAGCAGCCGCGGUAAUACA
rnacentral:rRNA from 1 species